UACGUAGGGGGCUAGCGUUGUCCGGAAUCAUUGGGCGUAAAGAGCGCGUAGGCGGCCAGAUAAGUCCGGUGUGAAAGUCACAGGCUCAACCUGUGAAUGCCGCUGGAAACUGUCUGGCUAGAGUCCGGAAGGGGCGAGUGGAAUUCCUGGUGUAGCGGUGAAAUGCGCAGAUAUCAGGAGGAACACCAAUGGCGAAGGCAGCUCGCUGGGACGGUACUGACGCUGAGGAGCGAAAGCGUGGGGAGCGAACAGG
rnacentral:rRNA from 1 species